rnacentral:rRNA from 1 species
UUUCCCUACGGGACGCAGCAGUAGGGAAUUUUCGUCAAUGGGGGGAACCCUGAACGAGCAAUGCCGCGUGAGUGAAGAAGGCCUUCGGGUCGUAAAGCUCUGUUGUAAGAGAAAAACGGUAAUGAUAGGGAAUGAUCAUUAAGUGAUGGUAUCUUACGAGGAAGCCACGGCUAACUACGUGCCAGCAGCCGCGGUAAUACGUAGGUGGCAAGCGUUAUCCGGAAUGAUUGGGCGUAAAGGGUGCGCAGGCGGAUGGAUAAGUCUGAAGUAAAAGCGAUCGGCGCAACCGAUGUA